AGGGCUCCGCGCAUGCAGGAAGACCACCCUAAGGGAAGAAUCAUGGGAAAGAGGCAGAAAAUUAAAACUGGAUUGCUACCUGGUGCUUCCAUACACUGAAAAGAAAGAACACUCCAAUCUGCCAGCCUUACGAUGUUGGGAAAACGCAUCAAACAGUGCUAAGGUUUUAAGCAUGGAGAAUAUAAUCCAGUUGUAAAGCUAUUAACCCAGAAAAGAUCAUACGCACUGCACUGGUUACAUGGAUUACAGCUGCAGACUUCUAACACAAAAUCCACACACAAGUACACGGACCCAGGUGGAGGCCUCAGCCCCUUAUUUCCUGCUUCUCUCCACUGUCUUAUUUUCAAGCUGCUACUGGUGCACCAUGAGAACCUGAUUUAAUACUAAGUGUCCAUACCAAAGUUCAAUGUCUGUCCCUACAGCAUAAUAUAACAUCGGUUAUCUCAAACAAUUGAUCUGGCUUAGUUCCUGGCCCAGGUGCAUAUUAGUUUUUGGAAGAAACUGAAUACAUAUUGUAAAAGUGUAUUAGCU
rnacentral:lncRNA from 1 species